GAGUGAGGACAGGCACAGGCCGUGCACAGACCACCCGCUGGGGACACUGCUCUGCACGUACACGGACGGACAAAGAAACACACUCCAACCCACAGCAGCUGCCCCUCUAGACAGUAUCCUUGGCUGGUUUCUGGGGCGGGCUGUGUAGGUGAAACCACUAUACUUGUUUCACUCAACUCUUCCCUAAAACAUUUUAUUCUCAAAGUGCAUUGCCAUUGAACGUGUGUGUGUGUGUGACCUAGCUCCACACCCACCGGCAUCAGCGACAUAAAGUUACUUUUAAAAUAACCUGAGAAAUACUUUUUUGCUUUGUUAAAUUACACAAGUGUUGUCCAAGACUGCAUUUCUGUACACAGGUACCUGUGUAGCAACAGGCUGUUGAAGUACCACUAGCUACCAGCAUUUUAACCACGAUGUUGCAGAGGGGUGGUCUACACUACUGUCCCGGCUGCUGCUGUGUCUGGUGGAGUUGUAACAUGGUUUGAGAUUCAUGUUGUUGUAAUUUAAUCCGAGGCGCGAUUAUUGCUAAUUGAAAAAUUUUCCAGAUACUGCCGUUUUCCUCCUCCAGUGUUAACCUGCAAUAUGGAACCUCCCAUUCCCUUCCAGCCUGCCGUCUGUAGCUGACUGUCCCAUCUGCACAGGAGAGACACAAUCCAUACCUGCACUCUGAUCAGGAGCUUCUGGCAUGAUGGUCUUGUUGGGUGCCCUCUCUGUGCCUGCUCAACAUCUGACCCUGAUCAAGAGGAGAAAUAAGAGGUUUAGGGAGGAUAUGUUCUGCAAGAUCCUCCAAUUCUUUAUAGCUUUGGACUAUAAGUGUGGGGUUGGAGAGCCCACCUGAACAUGACCAUGGAGAAGAACCAAGAAUGGAGAGAAUGGUUGCUGCAGGAGAGGCAAUAGGACUGAGACGCAUCAGGAAAUACACCAGGACAUAAUGACUUUGCUCAGGGAAUAAACUCAAAUGUUGCAGAAGUAUUACUGACAUACAUGCCCAAACUCAGCAAACUUUCCAGUGCUUGGAGAACUCCAUAGUUGCACUCCCUAUAUCCCCCAACAUUCCACAUGGCACCAUGCUGUACCUUCUUAUCCCUACCUCUCCAUGCUGGACAACAAAAAGAAAAAUAUCUACACAUGUACCGAUCUGAAAAAAACCCACAGGUUGGUGUAUAUGUAAUCUACUAUACUGUUGUAGCUUUUAUAUACAUGGUCGUAAAUGUUCACUAUUUACUUCCAUUUUCAGUUAGGAUUUUAUAAUUUACUCUGUAAAGUGUUGGUAAAAGUUUUUUAACCUUGUACAUGUUUGUUUGCACUUUCAUUUUAUUUCCUGUGUCUUGGCACACAAUAAAGUUCUGUUUUUUGAUA